rnacentral:tRNA from 1 species
GUCUUCAUAGUUUAAAGAAAACACUAGAUUGUGAAUCUAGCAAUAGAGAUCAAAAAUCCCUUAAAGACC